rnacentral:tRNA from 5 species
GGGCUCGUAGUUCAACCGGUAGAACAUUUCGUUUGCAACGAAGAGGUAGGCGGUUCGAGUCCGCCCGAGUCCACUA